rnacentral:pre_miRNA from 1 species
AUACUUUGAUCUGAUCCAAAGCCUUUUGAAGUCAAUGGGACGCUUUCCAUUGAUUUCGAAGAGCUUUGGAUCAGGUCCUUAAAU